rnacentral:rRNA from 1 species
GAUGAACGCUGGCGGCGUGCCUAAUACAUGCAAGUCGAACGCUUCACUUCGGUGAAGAGUGGCGAACGGGUGAGUAAUACAUAAGUAACCUGGCAUCUACAGGGGGAUAACUGAUGGAAACGUCAGCUAAGGCCGCAUAGGUGUAGAGAUCGCAUGAACUCUAUAUGAAAAGUGCUACGGGACUGGUAGAUGAUGGACUUAUGGCGCAUUAGCUUGUUGGUAGGGUAACGGCCUACCAAGGCGACGAUGCGUAGCCGACCUGAGAGGGUGACCGGCCACACUGGGACUGAGACACGGCCCAGACUCCUACGGGAGGCAGCAGUAGGGAAUUUUCGGCAAUGGGGGAAACCCUGACCGAGCAACGCCGCGUGAAGGAAGAAGUAAUUCGUUAUGUAAACUUCUGUCAUAGAGGAAGAACGGUGGAUAUAGGGAAUGAUAUCCAAGUGACGGUACUCUAUAAGAAAGCCACGGCUA